CUCCUUUGAAAAGUAAUGUCUGUCAAUGUGACGUGGAGAUUAUCCUUUUUAAAACCAAGCAUCAAACCCCGUGUGUGUUCUGACAGAAUUUUCCUUGAUGUUUAAAUUUAUUUAUACACAGUCUUGCAAGGGUCCAGAUUUAAGUCAUGCGUGGGAUCAAUCAGCCUUAUUUUAAAGAAUAGAGAGACAAGAGAUGGGGAUUUGUCCCUGGAUAUCCAAGAUCUAUGACCACUGGGGUCAUGUAACACUUCUGUUGUGUGAGAUCAAUCCCCCAUACGAAUUACAGCUCCCAAACUGGCCGACAAAUGGCACCUUCUUAAUAUAAAAUACUCCUUUGUAGCAACCACAAAUAGUGACCAGACCAGCACAUUCUCUUUCUUGACUUUAUGUCCUCAGCAUGGAGGAGAGGGACAAAUGUCAUGUAGGGGCUCAAAGCCUGUUGAAGUUAGGCCACUUGGGCUCAUCCCCUGGCUACUCCAUCUCCUCUGCCAGGAAGAGGAGAUAAUCAGAUAGUCAUGGCCCUCAGCGUCGUGUUGGUCCUUUCUUCCUUGAAUUCUGUUUCAGAAGCAACGUGAGGACAUGGAUGAGGUCACAUCAUCAGCUUGACCAGCUGAGCUGCUGCUGGGAAUUACAAGCAGGCUCAUUCUCCAAAACAUUAGCAAACACGGAUGCCCCAAGUCUCCACAUUCCCUGGACGACAAGCAUCAUGCCUGCCACAGGUUACUGGAGAAAUGAGGCAGAUCCAUCUCUUGCUCUCCAUGAGACCCGAGAUGCACCCAUGCUGUUUCCACGGUUCAUGGUUCAGGGAGAUUUACAUUCAAGUCCUUUUAGGAAAUGUAAGUGGAAGCCAACCAUCUUGCUAAUAAUUUUGAAACUCAGAACCGCAGUUUAUCAAAGUGCCUGGUCCCCUCACCUGGCAGGAGUGGUCUUCCAGGACUGGAGACACCAUCCAGCAUCCUGACAUGGAAGGCGGCUGAUGCUCUUAAACAAAGGACUCUUAAUAAAGAAGAUUUAUCAUUCCGAAGACUUCUGUUC
rnacentral:lncRNA from 12 species